AAACAUUUCUAUUAAAUAUAAUUAAUAGUAAAAUCUGCUCAAUGAAAAUUAAAUAGCCGCAAUAUGUGCUAAGGUAGUGAAAUAACUUGUCUUAUAAUUUAAGACCAAACAAAAGAUUUAACAUUUUAAUUAAUAUAAAAAUUUUAAAUAUUAAAAUUAUUUUUAUUUUUAUAAAAAAAUUAUACUUUAAAAAGACGAUAAGACCCUAUUAAACUUUACUUUAGUUCAACUGGGGAAGUUUUUUAAAAAAAUUUUAACCAUUUUAUAUAAUUAUAUAGUCCUAAUAAAAUUAAUUAAAAGAUUAAGUUACUAUAGGGAUAACAGCGUAAUAAUAUUUUUGAGAUCUUAUUAAAAAAAUUGAUUGCGACCUCGAUGUUGAAUUAAUAUUCUAAUUUCACGCAGUAGUGAAUAGAGACAGUCUGUUCGACUUUUAAAUAAUUACAUGAUCUGA
rnacentral:rRNA from 1 species